rnacentral:rRNA from 1 species
GAGCUUGCUUUUCUUGACUUAGUGGCGAACGGGUGAGUAACGCGUGAGGAACCUGCCUCAAAGAGGGGGACAACAGUUGGAAACGACUGCUAAUACCGCAUAAGCCCACGGUCUCGCAUGAGACAGAGGGAAAAGGAGCAAUCCGCUUUGAGAUGGCCUCGCGUCCGAUUAGCUGGUUGGUGAGGUAACGGCCCACCAAGGCGACGAUCGGUAGCCGGACUGAGAGGUUGAACGGCCACACUGGGACUGAGACACGGCCCAGACUCCUACGGGAGGCAGCAGUAGGGAAUCUUCCACAAUGGGUGCAAACCUGAUGGAGCAAUGCCGCGUGAAUGAAGAAGGUCUUCGGAUCGUAAAGUUCUGUUAUUAGAGAAGAACAAGUCAAGGAGUAACUGUCUUGACUUUGACGGUACCUAACCAGAAAGUCACGGCUAACUACGUGCCAGCAGCCGCGGUAAUACGUAGGUGACAAGCGUUGUCCGGAAUUAUUGGGCGUAAAGGGAGCGCAGGCGGUUGGAAUAGUCUGAUGUGAAAGCCCACGGCUUAACCGUGGAAGGUCAUUGGAAACUGUCCAACUUGAAUGCAGAAGAGGUAAGUGGAAUUCCAUGUGUAGCGGUGAAAUGCGUAGAUAUAUGGAGGAACACCAGUGGCGAAGGCGACUUACUGGUCUGUGAUUGACGCUGAGGCUCGAAAGCGUGGGUAGCGAACAGGAUUAGAUACCCUGGUAG